rnacentral:rRNA from 1 species
GACGAACGCUGGCGGCGUGCUUAACACAUGCAAGUCGAACGAAGAGCGAUGGAAGCUUGCUUCUAUCAAUCUUAGUGGCGAACGGGUGAGUAACGCGUAAUCAACCUGCCCUUCAGAGGGGGACAACAGUUGGAAACGACUGCUAAUACCGCAUACGAUCUAAUCUCGGCAUCGAGGAUAGAUGAAAGGUUGCCUCUACAUGUAAGCUAUCACUGAAGGAGGGGAUUGCGUCUGAUUAGCUAGUUGGAGGGGUAACGGCCCACCAAGGCGAUGAUCAGUAGCCGGUCUGAGAGGAUGAACGGCCAAAAUGGGACUGAGACACGGCCCAGACCCCUACGGGAGGCAGCAGUGGGGAAUCUUCCGCAAUGGAGGAAAGUCUGACGGAGCAACGCCGCGGGAGGGAUGACGGCCUUCGGGUUGUAAAGCUCUGUUAAUCGGGACGAAAGGCCUUCUUGCGAAUAGUGAGAAGGAUUGACGGUACCGGAAGAGAAAGCCACGGCUAACUACGUG